rnacentral:tRNA from 1 species
UAGCAAGAAGCAAAACAUUGCAUUUAGUUUCGACCUAAAAUUUUGAUUACAAAUAAUCCUUGCUAU